rnacentral:rRNA from 1 species
UACGAACUGUGCGAACGUUAUUCGGAAUCACUGGGCUUACAGGGUGCGUAGGCGGCUCAACAAGUCAGGUGUGAAAGCCCCCGGCUCAACCGGGGAACUGCGCUUGAAACUGUGAGGCUCGAGUCAGCUAGAGGUACACGGAACUUCCAGUGGAGCGGUGAAAUGUGUUGAUAUUGGAAGGAACACCGGAGGCGAAAGCGGUGUACUGGGGCUGGUCUGACGCUGAGGCACGAAAGCCAGGGGAGCGAACGGG